rnacentral:rRNA from 1 species
AUGAACGCUGGCGGCGUGCCUAAUACAUGCACGUCGAGCGAACAGAUGAGGAGCUUGCUCCUCUGACGUUAGCGGCGGACGGGUGAGUAACACGUGGAUAACCUACCUAUAAGACUGGGAUAACUUCGGGAAACCGGAGCUAAUACCGGAUAAUAUAUUGAACCGCAUGGUUCAAUAGUGAAAGACGGUUUUGCUGUCACUUAUAGAUGGAUCCGCGCCGCAUUAGCUAGUUGGUAAGGUAACGGCUUACCAAGGCAACGAUGCGUAGCCGACCUGAGAGGGUGAUCGGCCACACUGGAACUGAGACACGGUCCAGACUCCUACGGGAGGCAGCAGUAGGGAAUCUUCCGCAAUGGGCGAAAGCUUGACGGAGCAACGCCGCGUGAGUGAUGAAGGUCUUCGGAUCGUAAAACUCUGUUAUUAGGGAAGAACAAAUGUGUAAGUAACUAUGCACGUCUUGACGGUACCUAAUCAGAAAGCCACGGCUAACUACGU